AGGGAAAGCUUGCCUAAGACUGGAUAGGAAAUUAGAAGGCAUCUUUUAAUUUUUAAAAGACCUUUUUCGAAAGGUAUACUUAAAGAGGGGCUUGCGGCACAUUAGUUAGUUGGUAGGGUAAAAGCCUACCAAGACCAUGAUGUGUAGCUGGACUGAGAGGUUGAACAGCCACAUUGGGACUGAGACACGGCCCAAACUCCUACGGGAGGCAGCAGUAGGGAAUUUUCGGCAAUGGAGGAAACUCUGACCGAGCAACGCCGCGUGAACGAUGAAGUAUUUCGGUAUGUAAAGUUCUUUUAUUGAAGAAGAAAAAAUAGUGGAAAAACUAUCUUGACGAUAUUCAAUGAAUAAGCCCCGGCAAACUAUGUGCCAGCAGCCGCGGUAAUACAUAGGGGGCGAGCGUUAUCCGGAAUUAUUGGGCGUAAAGGGUGCGUAGGCGGUUUGGUAAGUCUAUAGUUUAAUUUCAGUGCUUAACACUGUUCUGCUAUAGAAACUAUCAGACUAGAGUGAGAUAGAGGCAAGUGGAAUUCCAUGUGUAGCGGUAAAAUGCGUAAAUAUAUGGAGGAACACCAGAGGCGUAGGCGGCUUGCUGGGUCUUUACUGACGCUGAGGCACGAAAGCGUGGGGAGCAAACAGGAUUAGAUACCCUGUUAGUCCACGCCGUAAACGAUGAGUACUAAGUGUCGGGGAAACUCGGUACUGAAGUUAACACAUUAAGUACUCCGCCUGAGUAGUACGUACGCAAGUAUGAAACUUAAAGGAAUUGACGGGACUCCGCACAAGCGGUGGAUCAUGUUGUUUAAUUUGAAGAUACACGAAAAACCUUACCAGGUCUUGACAUACUCUGCAAAGCUAUAGCAAUAUAGUGGAGGUUAUCAGGGAUACAGGUGGUGCAUGGUUGUCGUCAGCUCGUGUCGUGAGAUGUUAGGUUAAGUCCUAAAACGAGCGCAACCCUUGUCACUAGUUGCCAGCAUGUUAUGAUGGGCACUUUAGUGAGACUGCCAAUGAAAAAUUGGAGGAAGGUGAGGAUCACGUCAAAUCAUCAUGCCCCUUAUGAUCUGGGCUACAAACGUGAUACAAUGGCUGUUACAAAGAGUAGCUAAAACGCGAGUUUAUAGCCAAUCUCAUAAAAGCAGUCUCAGUUCGGAUUGAAGUCUGCAACUCGACUUCAUGAAGUUGGAAUCGCUAGUAAUCGCGAAUCAGCAUGUGCG
rnacentral:rRNA from 1 species